AGGAGGAGGAGGAGGAGGAGAGGUUGACAGAUAUUGGCUCCCAUCCUAGAUGAAGAUUCAGUUUGGUAGUUUUUGUAUGGGUAACCAAACACAAAUCUGUAAUAAAAAUGUCUCAAUAAAAUGAAAAAGAAUUAAAGGUACCCCAGGCUGAUGGAUCACUCCUAAAACUGCUGAAGUUAUUUAAAAGAUGAACACAAUAAUGGAAAAUGAUGGAGUUUCUUGGAAUCCAGCCUGGCGUUCUGUUCUGCU